AAGCGCUGGCAACCAGACUUGCUCGCGGGUGAUCAACCGUCCUUCGGGGCGGUGCACUGAUCCGCGAUCAGGCCAGCAUCGGUUUCGGCGGCCAGAUAAACGAGGUGGGAACGUGGCUCCCUUCGGGGAGUGUUAUAGCCCAUUUCAGCAUGUGGUCCGCCGGGGCCGAGGACCGCGCUCCGGCUAGGAUGCUGGCGUAAUGGUUGUCAGCGACCCGUCUUGAAACACGGACCAAGGAGUUGACAAACAACGCGAGUCUUUGGGUGUUAAACCCACAGGCGCAAUGAAAGUGAACGGAGGUGGGAACCCUGGUGCACCAUCGACCGAUCCUGAUGUCUUCGGAUGGAUUUGAGUACGAGCGUUGUUGUGACCCGAAAGAUGGUGAACUAUGCGUGAAUAGGGUGAAGCCAGAGGAAACUCUGGUGGAGGCUCGCAGCGGUUCUGACGUGCAAAUCGAUCGUCAAAUUUGCGUAUAGGGGCGAAAGACUAAUCGAA
rnacentral:rRNA from 1 species